rnacentral:rRNA from 1 species
GAUGAACGCUGGCGGCGUGCCUAAUACAUGCAAGUCGAGCGAACGGACGAGAAGCUUGCUUCUCUGAUGUUAGCGGCGGACGGGUGAGUAACACGUGGAUAACCUACCUAUAAGACUGGGAUAACUUCGGGAAACCGGAGCUAAUACCGGAUAAUAUUUUGAACCGCAUGGUUCAAAAGUGAAAGACGGUCUUGCUGUCACUUAUAGAUGGAUCCGCGCUGCAUUAGCUAGUUGGUAAGGUAACGGCUUACCAAGGCAACGAUGCAUAGCCGACCUGAGAGGGUGAUCGGCCACACUUGAGCUGAGACACGGUCCAGACUCCUACGAGAAGCAGCAGUAGGGAAUCUUCCGCAAUGGGCGAAAGCCUGACGGAGCAACGCCGCAUGAGUGAUGAAGGUCUUCGGAUCGUAAAACUCUGUUAUUAGGGAAGAACAUAUGUGUAAGUAACUGUGCACAUCUUGACGGUACCUAAUCAGAAAGCCACGGCUAACUACGUG